UACCUAGUAGUGUAUCAGCCCUGAUACAGGCGUUUUGGACUAGGCGAGACAGCAUCUGGGAACUAGGGCUGUCUCGCCCUCGGGGCUGAGAUAUCUCUGUCUCGGCCCGUUGUCAAGAGGCUGUCUCGCCCUCAAAUUUUAAUUUGUUAAAUCUCUAAAAACUUUCUAUGUUUUUGCAAAAUUUUAUGUGGAAAAAAUAUAAAAAUGAAUAAAUCAUCUAUAACACCCAUUAACACUUUUUAAAAAUUUAAUUUUAACACAUAAAUUAGAGAAAACGUUUUUUUUAAAAACAGCACCAAACCGUAAUGCGUAUCUAAGCAAAGGGAGGUAACCCCAGCAACAACUCGUAUUUUAGAACAAUAGCACGUCAUUAAUUUAAAUUAAUCAACGUUAAUUAAAGAGAAAUAACGUAAACAUACAUGAUGGGGGAUGUAGAGGCAAUUACUCCAAAAAAUCCUGGCCCUAGCGGUGAUCGCGAUGUGCGUUAUGGAAAUUUUGAACUAGAAUCUCGUUUCAAAACAGUCUCUGAGAGUGAAAGGACAGAAUUUGUAAAAAGUAAACGAAACAAGAAUACGUCUAGGAAAACGGAUGGGCACAUGAAGGUUCUUUAUGACUGGCUGGAUAGUGUUUGUCAAGAGUCAAGGAAUAUUUACGAAAUACCACCAAAGGAACUUAACAUGUAUUUGGCGAGAUUCUUUCUCUCCGUGAGAAAACCAGACGGCGGCGAAUACGAGCCAGACACAUUACGAGGCUAUCUUGGAAGUUUCUCCCGAUACUUACGAGACAACAGUUAUGAUCACAAUAUUGUCGAAUCACAUCUAUUUGGACACGCAAGGGAAGUUCUUAUGUCCAAACGAUAAAGCCACAAAUCCCAGGGCCUCGGAAACAGAAAGAGAUAAGCUGAGCCACUUUCCACCGACGAAUUUCAGCGCCUCAUUCAGUCUAAUCAGUUGGGUAAAGGUAAGAAAAAAAACAUUCGAACUUACUUUAAACAAAUCCAGAAAAUAAUCCUCUUCUCGAACUCGAACGCUGAUGUUAUGUCAACAAAGUCCAAUAACUCUUAUUUAGUCGAUCCUAUUAAAUCAGAGAAUGUAAACGGACGGGUUUUGAAAUUCCGUAAAGUAAAUGUUUAAAAUAUCUUGAUUUUUUCUCUUUUACUAGCAAAUCCACAGUCACUGAUAAAUACCAUGUACAUAAACAACACCAUGCACUUUAGACUGAGAGGAAGACAUGAACAUGAAUAGAUGCUUUGGGGCGACAUUGAAUUAAAAACAGAUUCAACAGGGACAGAGUACCUGGAAUUCAAUGAGAGGGCAACAAAAACAAGGCACGGAAAUGGAGAGAGCAGACCAUUCCUUCCAAAGAUGUAUGAAAAAAGAGGAGACUCUAUGUGCCCUGUAAAUCUUUAUAAAGAAUUCACGCGACACAGGCCUUCGGAGAUGCUAGAGCCCGAAAGCAGAUUCUAUCUUUCCAUUAAACAAAAUCCUACGGAU